GCCAGGCAUGGUGGUGCAUACCUGUAAUCCCAGCAGCUCCGGAGGCUAAGGCAGGAGGAUCACGAGUUCAAAGCCAGCCUCAGCAACUUAAAGAGGCCCUAAGCAACUCAUCAAGACCCUGUCUCUA
rnacentral:sRNA from 1 species